GCCCCAGUAGCUCAGUGGCAGAGCGUUUGCAUGGUAAGCAAAAGGCCGAGGGUUCGACUCCCUCUUGGGGCU
rnacentral:tRNA from 1 species